rnacentral:rRNA from 1 species
GAUGAACGCUAGCGGCAGGCUUAACACAUGCAAGUCGAGGGGCAGCGCGGGAUAGCAAUAUCCUGGCGGCGACCGGCGGAAGGGUGCGUAACGCGUGAGCGACAUGCCCGUUGCCCGGGGACAACCGGUGGAAACGCCGACUAAUCCCCGAUGGGAUACGAUGCUUCAUGGCAUUGUAUUGAAAGUUACGGCGGCGACGGAUUGGCUCGCGUCCGAUUAGCUGGUUGGCGGGGUAACGGCCCACCAAGGCUGCGAUCGGUAGGGGUUCUGAGAGGAAGGCCCCCCACUAUGGGACUGAGACACGGCCCAUGCUCCUACGGGAGGCAGCAGUGAGGAAUAUUGGUCAAUGGGCGGAAGCCUGAACCAGCCAUGCCGCGUGCGGGAAGGAGGCCCUAUGGGCUGUGAACCGCUUUUGCCUGGGGGCAAUAAGGGCGUCGCGCACGUCCGAUGAGAGUACCAGGCGAAUAAGCAUCGGCUAACUCCGUG